CCUACGGGUGGCAGCAGUGAGGAAUAUUGGUCAAUGGUCGGGAGACUGAACCAGCCAAGCCGCGUGAGGGAUGAAGGUACAGAGUAUCGUAAACCUCUUUUGUCAGGGAACAAAGGCGGGGACGCGUCCCCGGAGGAGUGUACCUGAAGAAAAAGCAUCGGCUAACUCCGUGCCAGCAGCCGCGGUAAUACGGGGGAUGCGAGAGUUAUCCGGAUUUAUUGGGUGUAAAGGGUGCGCAGGGGGGCUGUUAAGUCAGCGGUCAAAGCCCGGGGCUCAGCCCCGGCCCGCCGUUGAAACUGGCAGUCUCGAGUUGGAGAGAAGUAUGCGGAAUGCGCGGUGUAGCGGUGAAAUGCAUAGAUAUCGCGCAGAACUCCGAUUGCGAAGGCAGCAUGCCGGCUCCACACUGACGCUGAGGCACGAAAGCGUGGGUAUCGAACAGGAUUAGAUACCCGGGUAGUC
rnacentral:rRNA from 1 species